AUUGAACGCUAGCGGCAGGCCUAACACAUGCAAGUCGAACGAGCGGCGGACGGGUGAGUAAUGUAUGGGGACUGCCCGAUAGAGGGGGAUAACUACUGGAAACGGUGGCUAAUACCGCAUAAUACCGGAUAACCCAUAUGGGAUUAGCUAGUAGGUGGGGUAAAGGCUCACCUAGGCGACGAUCUCUAGCUGGUCUGAGAGGAUGAUCAGCCACACGGGUACUGAGACACGGCCCAGACUCCUACGGAGGCAGCAGUGGGGAAUAUUGCACAAUGGGCGAAAGCCUGAUGCAGCCAUGCCGCGUGUAUGAAGAAGGCCUUAGGGUUGUAAAGUACUUUCAGCAGGGAGGCGUUACCCGCAGAAGAAGCACCGGCUAACUCCGUGCCAGCAGCCGCGGUAAUUC
rnacentral:rRNA from 1 species